rnacentral:rRNA from 1 species
CUCAGAACGAACGCUGGCGGCGCGUUUUAAGCAUGCAAGUCGAACGAUGAAUCUGGCUUCGGCCAGUGGAUUAGUGGCGAACGGGUGAGUAACACGUGGAUAAUCUGCCCCGAGGUGUGGGAUAGCCCUACGAAAGUAGGAUUAAUACCGCAUACACCUUUAUAUGCAAAUGUGUAUUUAGGGAAAGUAGCGAUACGCCUUGGGAUGAGUCCGCGGUCCAUUAGCUAGUUGGUGGGGUAAGAGCUUACCAAGGCGAUGAUGGAUAGCCGGCCUGAGAGGGUGAACGGCCACAUUGGGACUGAGAUACGGCCCAGACUCCUACGGGAGGCAGCAGCUAAGAAUCUUCCGCAAUGAGCGCAACUUGACGGAGCGACGCCGCGUGGACGAAGAAGGCGUUUUGCGUUGUAAAGUCCUUUUCUACAGGAAGAAUACUUGGGGAUAGCCUGAGUUGACGGUACUGUAGGAAUAAGCCCCGGCUAAUUACGUGCCAGCAGCCGCGGUAAUACGUAAGGGGCUAGCGUUGUUCGGAAUUAUUGGGCGUAAAGGCCUGUAGCGGACUGAUAAUCAGGUGUGAAAGUCACGCUUAACGUGAACUGCGCUGAACUGUUGUCUUGAUGUCGAGAGGUACGAAUUCUGGUGUAGGGUAAWYWUAAWWCAGAAGACACCGUUCRAGCGGUACUKGCGACAUAMCUGAUGCGAACAUGGACAMAGAUAAUMCUGUAUCAUCUUAA